rnacentral:rRNA from 1 species
UACGUAGGGUGCAAGCGUUGUCCGGAAUUAUUGGGCGUAAAGGGCUCGUAGGCGGUCCAUCGCGUCGGGAGUGAAAAGCUGGGGCUUAACCCCAGUCCUGCUUCCGAUACGGGUGGACUAGAGGUAGGCAGGGGAGAACGGAAUUCCUGGUGUAGCGGUGAAAUGCGCAGAUAUCAGGAGGAACACCGGUGGCGAAGGCAGCUCGCUGGGACGGUACUGACGCUAAGGCGCGAAAGCGUGGGGAGCGAACAGG